UUUUUUCUUUUUAGUACCAAAGUAUACAGUUUAACAUAGGGUGUAAGAUGCUGUAUGACUUAAUUAUAUGUAAUAUUUGGACAUCACAACACAUGAUACAAAGUCUGUAUACAAUGCUGUCUAAAUCUGGUGAGAUACAACUCUGCUUAGAAAGAUUACAUUAGAGGUAAUAUGGUAAUACAUGGAUUUACAGACAGUAUAAUAUUGGAGAAGUGGCAGGACUCAAAGUAGCAGGUCAUUUCAUUUGUCUUAUAUCAACGGAAAAAAUUAGGAAAACCUCAGAAAUAAUUUACACAUUACUUUUAAGAAUGAAGUCUUCCCGUUAUCCUCCAGGAAUAUGAUGUCUGCCUUAAUAUUGGGUACACUAUAGUCAACAUAUCGUUUAGAAUAAAUAUAACAAACAA